AUAUAUAUAUGUGAAGAGUUCAGAUGCAAAACCCUCUAAAUCCAUCUGACCACUUUUCUUUUAAAGAGCAUUUUUUAUCAGGCUCCUGUGUUCAAUGAUAAGCUUAGGAGUUAGUGAAUAAAAUGUCUUUUUUUCAUAAAGGUCACUUUAGUCUUGGGUUGGGCGAAUGAAGCCCCCCGAGGCUUUGGAAGGUUCUUCCUGAUUGUAUCGUAAGUGUUUCGAAGUGUCAAAGCAUCAAAUACAAAACAGUGACAUGUGGUGGUUAGCAGACGUAACGGCAGCUCUCAUUAGCGAUUAAACAAUCACAGACGAAGCCACAUGCCGACCAAAUGGCCCUUCUCUGACACUGGUAAAACAGAGCGGAGAGACAAUGUGUUCUGUUUCCUUGUGAGUAAAAACUAUUAGGCCUACAGUCAUUGGAAUAAACAUUAUAGUUUUGAUAUGCUUCUAAUGAUUCGAAUUGAAAAUGUAAUGUGCUUGGUUUUAAAUAAUGCUAUGUUUCCACGAAAAUCUCAAAAUGACCUUGGGAGGGUGGUAGCGCAUUCGUAUACCGCACGCGAGACCGGGGUUCAAAUCCCGCCAUGUUCAUAAUUGCCAUGCGUUAGCAUUAUUUGAUAUUGCAUGCUUCUCCAUAGUGGUUGUGUUUAAGACUUCAUUUGAUGUUUUGCAAAAACUAAUGGCAAAAUAACGUAGGCUAAUUGCUGCAGAUGACCACAGCAGUGUUAGAUAACAGAAAACAUAUAAAGGGCAUUGUGAACAGUGGGGGUUGUGAAAACAUGGGGCAUCCAUUGAGACGUGUUAAAUCAAUGAGACAAUUUGACUCCGCAAUUGCUCAAAGUGUCGACACUUUAAAGGUUUAGCGAACCAGUAACGCUUUAGGGGUUUGAUACAAGCACCGGUGCCCCUGUGUCAAAUGUCCCAUUUAAACUUUUCAGUGACGUCAGGAGCUUCGUACAUCAUCAGUCACGUGACCUUACAACUUUGAUACGCGCCCCGAUACAUUGUGCCGAAGCAGAUUGCUUCGCGGAAGUGAUACGAGCCUUGGUGCCUCGGUGUCAGACUUCCCAUCCCAACUUUAGUCAAUUCAUUGUUUUUGUAACAAAUAAGAUUUUCUUUUGCUUCAUAAGCAGCUAAAUCCAUGAUGCCAUCACAGCUACUCUGUCAUGUUUGCCCAACGAGUUUGCUCUUGUCACUGCCAUUUCCCUCUCUACAAGACUAAAGGUGCAUCCCAUCCCUCAUUUCCCUCUCUACAAGACUAAAGGUGCAUCCCAUCCCUCUAUUUGUAUGCGGCCUCUCUCCUCACUCCUUCAGCUUGUGCACCAGAUAUCAUUCAAAGCUUGACGUCGUCGAAGAUGCCUCAUUUCAAGAGGGAGUUAAAGGAGGAAUCCGGACGAUUUUUACAUGGAUCUUGAUCGCUAGACGUCGCCAAGUACUGUCGAUAGGAAAAAAGAAACAACCAAAAUCGGCGCUACCAAACUGGAGUAGCUGCAGUUAAUGGCCAGUACUCCCAGUCAGCUACAAUGCUAGGUCUGGGGGCAUCAUCUAAACAUGCCUUUUUUGCUUCUUAAUAGACUUAGAAAUGACAAAUCAACAUAGCUUCAACGUCGAUGCUCUAUCGUCUUCGUGUAAAGCCCUCCUUAACGGUUGUGAUUGGUGCCUGGAUUUAGGAAAAUUGAAAAUGGGUUUGAAUGACCUGAAUGAAUUUAAUGUAUGGACUAUGGAUGUUCUGUAAUGUAUGUGAAUUUUGAUGUGAGGACUUUAGACUGGAUUAUAUGGGAGCCCAGAUUGUUAAUUGGGUGGUAUCUUGCACUAAUUGGUGUGGUCAUCCUGUAAAUCACGAUUAAGAGUGAACCUGAUGAAGCAUUGGCGAAACGCGUCGUUCACUAAAAAAUAAACCAGCAAAGAAAAUCCACCAGUGUGCGGUGAUCCUUUACUUUCCCUUUAAUUUAUUGACGACUGCACCUCACCAGCACCUGGAAGGCUGUACAUAGGAACUUUAUCCUUUUUUGGGUUUGAAUGACGUCUUCGCCAGAUGGACCUCUUCGCCAGACGGACCUCUUCGCCAGACGGACUUGCAGAGCAAGGGAAGCUGUGUGCACACAGGAAUAUGUCUUGUAAAGUCACAUUUUUUAAAGCACUCCAGAAAAGCUUACUAGCUUAAUUAGGCUAUAGCUUAGGCCUAUGCAUUAAUACCCAGUGAUACCUUGAAACACCUCAAAAUUAGGCUGUUGUCUGUUAGGCUAAAGUCGCGACUUAUUGUAACAGAGGUAGCUUAUAUCGUAGCAAAUAGGCUAUUGCUAUGACAGCUUUAAAAACAUUUAUUUCACUUAUCUCGCUGGAGUGAAUGCAGACCAUGGGCUUGCAC